rnacentral:sRNA from 1 species
UUAAUAGAACUUCAAUUGAGUUUACGUG